UUUUAUUUUAAACACAACAUACUUAGUAUGAAACUGUACCAUUUGAAUACUAUUUUUGACUUGACUUUUUGAAAUUAAAAGAAAAGAAAAAUACAACAUUUUAAUUAGCCAUUGUUACGCAUAUUAUUAAACACUAACCAAAUUUAAUAUUAUGAAAACCAGAAAAUAAGUGUCUUUAUAUACCGUCAAUCGAGGUGACUUGGAACUGCGAGGUGAAAUGAAACGAUUCGGUUUUUCUUUAAACUUAUCAGGUUAUCUCUGAGAUAAAAUGAUAUAAUUUAAUUCUACCUCCAUUAAAAUUAAAUUUACCAUUUUUGUGAUAAUAAUUGUUAUUAUCAACCAUGUGUUUGGUCUUAUCAUUACCUCCAAAAAAAAUAACCAAACAUUUCGUUUGAUAAUAGUGAUUUUAUCAUUGCUCUCAAAAGUGCAUCAAAUCUCGGUGAAUGAAGUCAAGUGUAAAAAAAAAAAUUGAGGGUGACUUGAAACACCAAAAAUGCCUAACAAAUUGCAUGGCGAAAAGUUUUAAAAGCCUAUAAAAGAGCUAGGAGAGGUCCUAUUCCAAAAGAGAUUUUUCCUAGACUUCAAGUGUUAGUAUUAAGUUAUUUUUUUGUAUUUAAAAAGUUUUAUAUUUUGUUUUUGUCAUGUUAUUUAUAUAAUUUUUUUUUUUUUUUUUAAAUUAUGUUUUUAUACAGUUGAAAAAAGGUAAAGUCAACCUGUUUUUUUAAAUAUUUAUUUAAAAUGUUCUUGUGAUUAUUUUUAAAAUAAAAAUGUUGUUACAAGUCCA